CGGUUGUAACUAAUGACCCUUCAUGUUACUAAUUAACCCUCCCCAUGUUAAUUAGCAUACCAUGCUUGCACUAACUUACAAAAGAAAAUGUUAGGUUUUAUUACACACUUCAAUCAGUAAUGGAUUUUGCAGCAGUGGAACCCACUUACAG